rnacentral:rRNA from 1 species
GAUGAACGCUGGCGGCGUGCCUAAUACAUGCAAGUCGAGCGAACGGACGAGAAGCUUGCUUCUCUGAUGUUAGCGGCGGACGGGUGAGUAACAAGUGGAUAACCCACCUAUAAGACUGGGAUAACUUCGGGAAACCGGAGCUAAUACCGGAUAAUAUUUUGAACCGCAUGGUUCAAAAGUGAAAGACGGUCUUUCUGUCACUUAUAGAUGGAUCCGCGCUGCAUUAGCUAGUUGGUAAGGUAACGGCUUACCAAGGCAACGAUGCAUAGCCGACCUGAGAGGGUGAUCGGCCACACUGGAACUGAGACACGGUCCAGACUCCUACGGGAGGCAGCAGUAGGGAAUCUUCCGCAAUGGGCGAGAGCCUUACGGAGCAACGCCGCGUGAGUGAUGAAGGUCUUCGGAUCGUAAAACCCUGUUAUUAGGGAAGAACAUAUGUGUAAGUAACUGUGCACAUCUUGACGGUACCUAAUCAGAAAGCCACGGCUAACUACGUG